rnacentral:pre_miRNA from 1 species
UUUUAAAUUAUUUAUUUUUUUAUUAAAAACUAGCAUGGCUGACAGAAUAAUCAAAUGAUGACACACGGCAUGCUGCAUGUACCUCAUUUCGACGUACAUGAACUAAUUUUUAACAGUAGAAAUAGAUAAAAAA